rnacentral:rRNA from 1 species
UACGUAGGGUGCAAGCGUUGUCCGGAAUUAUUGGGCGUAAAGAGCUCGUAGGCGGUCUGUCACGUCGGCUGUGAAAACCCGAGGCUCAACCUCGGGCCUGCAGUCGAUACGGGCAGACUAGAGUUCGGUAGGGGAGACUGGAAUUCCUGGUGUAGCGGUGAAAUGCGCAGAUAUCAGGAGGAACACCGGUGGCGAAGGCGGGUCUCUGGGCCGAAACUGACGCUGAGGAGCGAAGGCGUGGGGAGCGAACAGG